ACAGAUAUGAGCCACCACGGCUGGCUGACAGGCACCAAAUUCUAGGAGAGGACUUGAAUAGACUCCCAAGGAGGCAGCAGAAACUGGGGUAAUCACAACGGUCAACAGCAGCAAAGGCAGCACUUUCUGAUUUACUUGACUGCUAUGGAUGCCACCUCUCUCCACGCCUCAGUUUAAUAUCUGAGGCCCUGUAAGGCAGCUUCAGACAACGGGCUCCACCUCAGCAGGAGCAGCUGGGAGCCUGGGCUCUUCUUUCUGAAACUGCCUUCAGAGUUGGAUGGAAGAAGGGCAAUUGCCAAAAACCUGGCUGAAUCUGUGCUCAGGUGGAAUUUUCUAUCUCAGCUGCUGCUGAAAUCAAAGAUGAGCUCAGGCACUGGUCUUCCAAGAUGUCAAAGCACAAGUCCUUUCAGAAAGUGAACUCACGUGGACCCCAACUAUGUGAAAUUGCUGCAUUUGGAGCUGCUCUGUCCCAGUGGUGUGGGCAGCUUUCUGCUGGACUCUUCUAGCCACAGGGAGGAUACCCUUCCUCCCAGGAUAGCCCCCAAGGCACUGUGUCUGAAAGCCCCUUAUUUUGAAGAGAAGAAAAAUAAAGUCCUAAAAUGUUGAGGUGACAUCUUAGCUUGGGUUCCCCACAAAACAGAGCCAGAGGCAAAGGCUUGGGUGCCAGUAGUUUAUCUGAAGGUGAUUCCAGAAAAUAGAAGAA
rnacentral:lncRNA from 10 species